AGCUGUGUGAUAAGCACAGAGCGAAUUAUUCUUUCGCCUUUUACUAAAGAAUACCGUGUGCUUGUCAAUUAAAACAGCAUAUAUUAAUUUUUGAAAGGGCUUUUUUUUUUACAAAGGAG